rnacentral:rRNA from 1 species
CCUACGGGAGGCGGCAGUGAGGAAUCUUGGACAAUGGGCGAAAGCUGAUCCAGCCAUGCCGCGUGAAUGAUGAAGGCCUUAGGGUUGUCAAAUUCUUUCAGCAGGGAAGAUAAUGACGGUACCUGCAAAAGAAGCCCCGGCUAACAGCGUGCCAGCAGCCGCGGUAAUACGGAGGGGGCUAGCGUUGUUCGGAAUUACUGGGCGUAAAGCGCUCGUAGGCGGAUUGGUCAGUCAGAGGUGAAAGCCCAGGGCUCAACCUUGGAAUUGCCAUUGAUACUGCCAGUCUUGAGUUCACGAGAGGUAAGCGGAAUUCCGAGUGUAGAGGUGGAAUUCGUAGAUAUUCGGAGGAACACCAGAGGCGAAGGCGGCUUACUGGACUGAUACUGACGCUGAGGAGCGAAAGCGUGCGGAGCAAACAGGAUUAGAUACCCUGGUAGUCCACGCCGUGAACGAUGAGAGCUAGUUGUCUGGCAGCAUGCUGUUAGGUGACGCAGCUAACGCAUUCAGCUCUGCGCCUGCGGAGUACGGCCGCAAG